rnacentral:misc_RNA from 1 species
GUUCUCCAUCAGUUUACUCCAGAACUCAGGUUCACUGACAUUCAAAAUACCAACUUGGCCCUAAAGUGCUAAGUUGACUGUUGACCCGCUAUCAUCCUAUCACAGUCCCAUCUCUCACCGACGCUUUUAGUUGGUCUUGGUCUCUUGACCUGCUGCAAUCCAGGUACUUCACCACCCGCCGCGAUCUCUCUCCUAACCCUCACCGUCACACAUCGCUCCACUCACUCGGCGCUGCUUUGAUGUCACGAGCCCCAUCUCUCACCAACUCUCAUGGUUUCUCUCGAAUCUCUUCAUAGCUUCCCCAAGGUAGUCUUGGUGAUUUGGCUUUACAGUUUGCAGUCCUUUUGGUCUUUUGUUGUGGAUGCCAUGAUAUAGUAUAUCCCAACGAACUGUUCUUUUUUUGGUGAUGAUAAACUCAGAUUUUGAGGUGGUGAAAAGGCGAUUUUGUCGUUCCAGAUAGAAGGUAGGUUUAGGGUUUGGCGGUGGGGAGAGAUGUGGAGGACGCUGGGCUAGAGAAAAGGAAGGCAUCCUCUGAUUAUAAUAGCAGAGAUGAUUACGAUUCGAGCAUGAACAUUGAUACUGCUCUCCAUUACAUAAGAUAAGAAACUUCAGGAUGUCUUGGGGUGCUUUCAGAAAGAUUUUGAAGGUGGUGUUUCAGCUGAGAAUUUGAGGCCAAGUUUGGUGGUUAUUGUUCAUUGUUGACUGGUUAUCAUGAAUCUCCAGAUUUGUCUCCCCCAAGGACUCCACAAAAAGGCCAACAGUUUAAUGCAUUUAGAUCAAGCAAUUUGCAAGAGGAGUUAGACAGCGUACUUGAAGAAAGGGAUUCUUGUUCUAACCAUAACUACAAUAAUGGUGAUUAUGAUGCGAACAUGUACCCUAUAACAGCUAUGUCUGAUAUAGAUAAGAAACUUCAGGGUCUUGGGUGCUUUUGGAAAUAUUUUGAAGGUGAUGUUUCAGCAGAUAAUUUGGGGGCCAAGUUUGGCGGUUAUGGUUCAUUUUGUACGGGUUAUCAAGAGUCUCCAGAUUUGUCUCCCCCAUGGACUUCACGAAAAGACCAACAGUGCAAUGCAUUUAGGUCAAACAAUUUGAGAGCGGAGCUAGACACUAAACUUGAAGAAAGGGAGGCUUGCUCUGACCAUAACUAUAAUAAUGGUGAUUAUGAUGCGAGCAUGGACCCUUUAACAGCUAUGUCUGUUGGAAAGCAAAGAAAAAUUCCAGAUUUUUUGGAGUCAAAUUUUCAUUGAUUAUGUUCAGAAUCUGCUCCUAAAAUCAAGUAUGUACAAAUCAAACUUCAAGAAUCACGUUGUAUAUUUUUAGUAGUUUUAUUCCUGUAUAUUGUAAAUGCAUUGUAAACAUUUCGAGAUAGCCGGAGAGAAUAAAAAAUAGAAUUUCU